UACGUGAGGGGCGAACGUUGUUCGGUGUCACUGGGCUUAAAGGGCGCGUAGGUGGUUGCGUAAGUAACGUGUGAAAUCCCUCGGCUUACCCGGGGAAUUGCGCGUUAUACUGCGUGACUUGAGGAUCUCAGGGGAAGGGGGAACUCCAGGUGUAGCGGUGAAAUGCGCAGAUAUCUGGGGGAAGGCCGGCGGCGAAGGCGCCCUUCUGGGAGAUUCCUGACACUGAGGCGCGAAAGCGUGGGGAGCAAGCAGG
rnacentral:rRNA from 1 species